rnacentral:rRNA from 1 species
AUUGAACGCUGGCGGCAUGCCUUACACAUGCAAGUCGAACGGUAACAGGUCUUCGGAUGCUGACGAGUGGCGAACGGGUGAGUAAUACAUCGGAACGUGCCUAGUAGUGGGGGAUAACUACUCGAAAGAGUGGCUAAUACCGCAUGAGAUCUACGGAUGAAAGCAGGGGAUCGCAAGACCUUGUGCUAAUAGAGCGGCCGAUGGCAGAUUAGGUAGUUGGUGGGAUAAAAGCUUACCAAGCCGAAGAUCUGUAGCUGGUCUGAGAGGACGAUCAGCCACACUGGGACUGAGACACGGCCCAGACUCCUACGGGAGGCAGCAGUGGGGAAUUUUGGACAAUGGGCGCAAGCCUGAUCCAGCAAUGCCGCGUGCAGGAUGAAGGCCUUCGGGUUGUAAACUGCUUUUGUACGGAACGAAAAGCCCUGGGUUAAUACCCUGGGGUCAUGACGGUACCGUAAGAAUAAGCACCGGCUAACUACGUGCCAGCCGCCGCCGUAA